AGCGGACUCUCCUAGAGUACAAUCUGAAGUCUCACUGAUGGAGUGGACACACUGCCUGGGACCUUUCCCAACUGGGACUCCAGAUUGCUGUUUCCAGGACUUCCCAGCACUGUUCGAGUCUGGAUGUGACCCUGAUGCUGUUGGUCAAGGAUAUCCUAUUGAGUGGCAAGGUUCCAGAUGAGGACAUCAAAUCAGACUGGUUAAGGACUUCCCUGGUGGCGCAGUGGUUGAGAGUCUGCCUGCCAAUGCAUGGGACGUGGGUUCGAGCCCUGGUCUGGGGAGAUCCCACAUGCCGUGGAGCAACUGGGCCCGUGAGCCACAACUACUGAGCCUGCGCAUCUGGAGCCUGCGCGUCUGGAGCCUGUGCUCCGCAACAAGAGAGGCCGUGAUAGUGAGAGGCCCGCGCACCGCGAUGAAGAGUGGCCCCCACUUGCCGCAACUAGAGAAAGCCCUCACACAGAAACGAAGACCCAA